CCGUCUCACAUUAACAUCAGCUUUUUGGGGAUACCAUCUACAAUAAUGUUUGACAUCAUUGCAUGCCUCACCCACAUGACUGCCAACACUCACAAUCCUGAACAAAAAUUCAAUUAUAGGAAGGGGAAAAAAUGAUCUCUUUGAACCACCUACCUUACACAGCUUAAAAAACAGAUAUAAAAUGUUGCAAGAAAGCAAACUAAGUCUCUGAUGUGUCUAUGUUUUAUAUGAGAAGACAUGUGGAAUGCACAUGUGUACAUCUGGAUAGCCCAUAUUUAGAUAUGAUAAUGUUGAGUAGGGAACAAAAUCUAGGACGUGGCAUCUAACAAACCAGAGAUAUGCCUGUUUCAUUUGAUAACUGAAGCAAAAAAUGGAAAAGAAUAUCAGAAACCAUGACCUUAUAGGGAAUAAUAAACAAUAUUGCUAUCAAAGACGGACCCAAGAUUUCAGACAAGCGACCUCAAGGCUACCAUAAACGCCUAAUAUUCUUUAUGGUUUGCGUAGAAAACACACUGUAUAUUCUUAAUAACUUGAAGGCAAGACUGUCAUUUUAGUUUCCACCUAAGCAAAUUCUUUUAGGCUCAAACUACAUGGUUUUGAUGUCUGUCUUUUUGCUUUUGAUAAGCUAAAACCAAAACGACUGCUUUGACUCAACUCAAAAUGAAAAUUUUCAAUUCCAAGUGAUGUCAUUUUUAAUAAUUAUUGUAUUAAUCUUCACAAACUUCUCAGAAAAAAUUGUCUUAAUCUUUAGGAUAGCAGCUAGUCUCCCAAAACUUACUUUCCACCUUCUUUCUUUAAAACUUAUAUCUUGUUGCUAUUAAUGAUUAAAACUUUGGUAAGACUUUACAAGAUUCUACAAAUUGUUUUUCUAAACACAUAAACAAUUUAGCAAAUUGAACUAUUUAUAGACUUUGGGUAUGCAAAUGCAUACUUUCUGUUGAACUCCUAGACCUCGAUUUAAGUACCAAUCUGUCUCUAAAUUCCUAGAUGUCUAACGUCCUUAAAGGUAAAGACACAGGCAAAUAAAUCCAAACACUUACAAAUUUCACCAUUCAUUUAUUCCUCUCACUAGAAGAAAUCUACAAAGACAGCAGUAGGUAACAUCUCAAAACUCAAUAAUCAGAAACAGACACAAAAUCAAUCAACUUCUCCAAAAUCCCGUGUUAGCGUAUUUGAAUGAUAGCCUAUGAAACAAUUCCCAAAUCACUGGAUUCAACAAAAUCAUGAAGGCAUUCAAAAAUUGGCUAAAUAUACCAAAGAUAAUGACCAAAGGACUACUAAACUUUACUUAUUCCAUACUUCAAGCAGGAAGAUGCAGUAGCAGACUGUUGAGCUAAACAUGACACAAAAUUUGGACAUCUGUGUUUUCUUUUCUUUAUUUUUCCUUUUUUGAGGGGGGGGGGGGGGGGGGGUGAGGGGCGGCUGGGGACAUUAAAAUUGAGAAUGAAAAAGCCAAAGGUUCCAAUGUAUUCGAAUGCACGAUAUAAGCCCAACCCCUUUGCCAGCAUUUCGAAAUUUACCAGUGUUCAGUGGCCUUUGUACAGAGUAAAUUUUUUCCCAAAACGGAUUAGAUUAAACCUCCUUCGAUACAACAAGCAUCCGAUCUGAUAGCUAUACUAAAUGAUUUAAGCCAAACAUAUCAUCCCAGACAAGACAAUUAUGUUAGGUUUCAUUUUUUCAUCAGCAAACACAAGUUGUCAAUGCAGAAACAAAAGCAAAGACACUACAGCUACAGGGGAACAUGUCCGAAUGAACAAAAUAGAAACUUACGAAGCCUAUUCAAUAAAACAUUGCACCUAUACUACUAAACCCCUAUGGAAUAUGGUCAUGAAAACAAGUUCCAGUAGCACAACAUGUAUAUCUAAACUAUUUGUGAAGAAUAAGAAAAGACGUGUAUUGAUGACAAGAUAAUUUGAUGAAUAAACAUAUUUAUAGGUCUCAAACAAAAUACAAUUCGUUCAAUAUAGGACGUCGCUAAAUUAGAACUUAACACUUAUGAACAUUUUCAACAUGCCUCCAACAAAACCAAAGCCAAGCUUCAGGUGCUGAGGCAACCGACAGAGCAGAAUUGGCGCCUCACCAGACUUCAGUUGAGGUGCUGCAUAAAAGCGAUUAACAAGCGCACACCUGGGUUAAGGCACAAGGCCUUUAGCAUGCGCAUCUUUCAAGCCAAAAAAGGGGGGUUGGAGGGGGAGGGGUAUUAGGAUCCAGGAAAGAAAAAGGAAAUCUUCUGAAGGAGCAAAAGAGACAUACUCAAUGAGAACUGAGAAGACAAUAGAGAACAAACAACUUGAGAAGAUCAUCAACGAUCUCAGUCUGAAGAAGUGCAGGAAAGAGAGAUCUUCACAGAAUUCUUCUUUCUUCUAAUUCCUUUCUUUAUUUUUUUCUUUUGGCAAACAUUAGACUGCCUGCAUUUUUUUUUCCCCUCAUAUUUCUUUUCUUUUCUCUUUUGGGGAAAAUAGAGAAUCACGUUCUGCUGCUAAGCCUCCAUUUCUUGUUUUCUUCUUCUCCUAGUGCGCUUCUUCUUUCUAUGGCCUGUGGAAGCCUCUGUCAUUUUUUUUCUUUUCGGGAAAGAGAUAACUGCUCUAUUUAUAGUUAAGAGACAUAAAGUGAUUUGUCUUUUGAUGAUAAUCAGAAAACUCAAAGAACUUAAUUAAUAUACACCAAGAUGGUGUUAGGCUUAUUAUAAAAACAUUGAAUAGAAGGAUGCAUAAGCUCCCCAAGAACCAAGCUAAUCGUCUAUACAGUAAGGAACUUCCUGUUUAGACCAAAAGAACACUAGGAAAAACAUAGGAUUGUAAUUUAACAAUGAACGUCCAGUUUCCUCAAACGUUAUCAUACUCCUCUCUCUCUGUAUUUCUAGAAAUUUAUUGCAUGGAGCGGUUCUCCAUAACUUUCUCCUAUCACAUUUAGCUUAUCCAAUCUCCAACUCACCGGUGCUUUUUUCUCGAGAAAGAACCAAUGGAUGUUGAAAAUGAAGAACAUCAUGGCUCAUAGUUUCGUUGCAAACUUACAAUAGGUGAUCCACGCGUUCAUCAUGAUUUUUACACGUGAACACCAAUUGACCACUAUGCAUCUCCUUCUUCUUGAGUUGUUAAAAUUGGCUUUGAACUCAAGUAAGGUCGUUGAGUUGUUAAAAUUGCUCCCGACAUUGCAUACCAUGUAAAAAAGUACCUCUUAGGUACCUCCAUGUUCCAUGUUGUUGACCAAAUGGACAUUGUACACCUUCAUCAAGUAAGAGGUUAUAGAUGUCGUUACUUAAAAACAUUUUCAUUAGGAGCUAAAUUUGGAUUAGUAUAUAAAAGAUUGGACUAGAACAAGAAACUAAAACAAGGAUUAGGUUAGAGUGGUAUGAGGAUUUGAACUAGUACUAGGAGUAAGCAGAGAAGUAGGAUUCCAAUUUUAUCCACCACCUUAGACCUAGUCCUACUUCUGAUCUAACUCCUAAUUCAAGUCCUUGUGGUCUAAAUCCUAAACCUAAUCUAGGAGCAAGUAAAGAAUUAGGAUCCCAAUUUAACCCAAACCAUAGCCGUAGUCCUUAUUCUAAUCUAAGUCCUUGUAGUAACACUGGUCUAAAUCCUAAACCUAAUAUUUGCUCCUAAUUCUAGCACCCAGUUCUACUUCUAAUUCUGAUCCUACUACUAUCAUGGGAAACUUACUCUAUUCAUCAGCUUCAGCUUUAGAAAAGCAGCUAUUUGGUCUGAAAAGAGCUCCAAACAAACUUGGUUCCAAAAGACAGCAUGACCCACAAAUAAUUACAGGACCAAAGCCGAUAAAAUCAGCACAUUAGAUACCAUGUGUGACUAAAGAUAAAAAAGCCAAAUUUUUUGAAGGUGGAAUUUCUCUCAUUCAUUAUGUUAUAACAUAGCCAUAGUUUCAUUUGGAGGCAGAAGCCAAUAUGGUAACCAACUACCCAUAUGGCAUUGUUUCAUGGAAUGUGAUUCGCUCAAGAAUGAAUUGAAUCUUCAAAUAAUGGAGUUUAGGCCUAUCUUAACCCCAAAAGCUAACUCAUGAAAAGGAGACAAAAGUCCUUUCUCUCAACCAAUGUGGAAAAUUCGGACACUGCCCCGGCCACUCCUUGCCUUCUUCUUAGGUGCUAUGUACUGAAAAUUAGAACAACGCAUGAGUUAAAAAGGGGCAGUCUUAUAAUCAAGCUCUAUCGCACGAUCUAGAAUAACAAAGAAGGGUGACAUUCCUAAAUGCCCAAGUCCGCCUAUGCCCCAGGCCUGAACAUUGUGGAUAACAUAACAUGGGGGUCCAACAUUGAGAAACACAACAACAAAGAUGAGUUUGGCUCUAAUACCAUGUAAAGAAAAUGGACCUUGGGCCUAACUCAAUCUCAAAAGCUAGCUCAGGAGAUGAGAAUUGUCCAAAACCAAACAAGGAGAGAACAAUGUACUCCUUCAACGAAUAUCUAACAGAAACAAGAAAAGCACAUCUAUUUAAUGGCUUGUUAAUAUGAAUCGUAAUAGCGAUUACAACGAAAGUGUGAUGCGCCUCAUGUAUUAACAAAUAUUGACUAGAGCCAUUUCAAACCUUAAUUUCAUAUCAUGUAUAUGAAAGGAAGAAAGAAAAAAUAUAUAUCUUUGUUGCUUUAGGAACAAGCUCCGAGUGAGGUGACAUACUAAAUGUUAAGAUAUUUGAAAGAAUAAAAUUUGGUUGGAUGUUUGAUAUAUAAUCAAGUUACAGUAUAUCAAAUAUACUCAAAGGGAAAGUGUAGCAUAUUCUCUUUAAAAGAUAUUUGAAAGAGAAGAAAGACCAAAGAACAUGAAGACACAUACCUCAUGCAUGCUAAAAAGAUCUAAGAAUGUAUAUCAAUAAUAUAGAUAAAUGAGAAAGUGAGGAUGAAGAAGCAAAAGUCUACUUCUAUCCUAUGAGGCGGGGCCAAGGGCACAAUUGUUUAAGGAACAAAAUAAAGCCGUAACAGAUAUAAGAAUGUCAUAAUUAUGAGACUGAGGUGGGGUAGUCAUUGUGAAGCGGUAUGCGUGAUUUAAAAAAUGAUGCAAAACAAAAGUAAAAUGCACCUAUGCCUAACACCAAAAGAUUCUUUAGCAUCAAGAGGGGGAUUUUUUCAUUAACUUAUUCUCCACCCCACCACUCCAAUCUUCCAUUAAUGAAAUGCGGUAAUUCAAACAACCCAACCUCUCCAAUCUUCUAUCCUGUGAACCAUCACGUGGAAUGGUACCAUUACCUCAAUCCUUGAAUGUCCAGAAUGCAGCAGUUCCGAACUCCCAUCAGGGCUAACCACCUCCUAAUAACACAGAAAUAGUUAGCACUGUCACACCUACUCUGCAACUUCAUAAUACUACUGGUAAAGAAGUUCUCAGCUAUAAACCCCUAGAGACAAAAUUCUCAACCCCGUGGAAUAGGCAAUAAAAUACUUUGAGAUUCAUCAAGUACCUAAUACUAUGAAGAUAAGCUAUAUCUGGAUAGAUAUAAAAGGGGGAUCCACUGAUAGUUUGACAGUUCUAUGAUAGAUCAUGGUGGGUAAUUUGUACGAAGACAUCAUUUGUGAUGUUUAUAGAAGGUCUGGAAACACUAGAUCUCCGGUAGAGAUUGACAAAUUCAGUGAGCUCAGUAGGCCAAUGACGUGGAAGCUUAUCUAUAGAAGUUUGAAGAACUGAGGUCUUACACGCUCAUUAAAAAGCCCUUCAUUCAUGUGAAUCCAAUUCCUAUUUCAAUUAGACACUAAUGCCUAGGAUAUUUAACUCAAUAGUACCUAUCAAAAAGAUAAGGAUAUCUAACCCAACAAUUCUAACAGAUCGUAAGAAGGAGCAAAGUAGCACAAGAAUCUAUCAAUGGGAUUAGCAAACUUCUACUCCAUAGUCCAGUUACCCUCCUAUAACAAAUCUGAACACCAAGCACCUAACACAACGCUUCCUCAGCCAUACUUCCAUACUAUCGAGUCUUCCACCUACAAACCUUUUCAACUUUCCGUAACCUAAAAUAGAAUCGACCAAGAGAAUAGAAGUUAGAAGUACUUUAUCGAUGCAAGCCAAAACCCCUCAAUGCUAAUGAAGGAGGGGAUAGCAGAAAAUAUUGGGGAGGUUGAUGCAGAGGCAAUUCAAGAGAGCGUGACACUAAAUGGUGUCCAUGGGUGUCAAAUUCCCCCGUGACCCUCCAAAUUGUUCGAACCACUAAGAGGUGGGCAUAAUUUGUCUAAAGCAGCUCAAAUUCAGGGUUAUUCUUGGCAAUAUAGCCAUGCAAGUUACUACGGGCAAUGAUCACAUUCACAGGACCUUAUGGUCAAAAAUUCAGUAUAUAUGUGUCAAUAACAGCUUUCUAAAAAACAAUACGCACUUGUACAACAAGCUGACCCACUUGAAAAUAAUGCAAACUAUACAUCAACUUGGGAGAAGACGUAAAGCUUUAGAACUCACACAGCCCUAGACCCAAAUCUAAACAGACCUGAUACUGCACAUGACUUAUACCAUCAGCUACAACCGAACUUGUUGAGAUAUGCAAGGUGAAUCUUUCAUUUUCAAUUUCAGAAUGCAAAAGGUUAACCUCAAGUUAGAAAUGGAUUGAUUGACCUCUAUUCCCGGUUAUGUUAGACUUGUGACGUAACCAAGUGUCAUUCUGGGGAUGAUAAGGGAGAAUCAAGGGGUACUAGGUGGGCUCACAGAAGGAAAUGGCUGCUUAAACUUUUUCAGCAAUGUGUUAUUCAAGUGUUCUCCACUGCAACAGCCAACAAGUAUAUAAGCACUAUGCACUGACAGAGUAAAAAAUAUUUACACAAUGAGGUCACUUAAUAGGCAACCGCAGAUAGCUCUCUACACAAACAUAAAUUAGUGUAAGAUAUGUUUACAUUGUCAGUGCACAUAACUUAAGCUCUUGCAACAAAGCUGAACAAAUAGAGAAAUUGAUCGUAAAAUUAGUCAGGAAUUUUAUCCAUUUACACUUGAUCCAUAGAGUCUGUUUGAUUUCUAAUUUGUUAGAGUCAGUUAAAACUUAAAAGGAAUUUCUAGCUGGAGCAUGUCAGCUCUCGGCUCCAUAAAUUGAGGUUACAAUCACACGAACUCCCAUUUUAUAAUUGUUCCCUUAUUUCGUUUAGUGGCAAUCAGUAAUCACAACAAUCACGUAUCCAUAUUGUUUCAUAAAUUCAUCCAUAAACAUUAAAUUAAUGAGAUAAAAUAGAAUUUACCAUUGGUUGGUUCGGUUUCUGCUGAUUGAGGAAAUUACAACUGAGGAACAACGACAUCAGUUAUCAACAGUCUACCCCGUGUAAACACCUUAAACUGUAUCAUUUGCUUCUUAGACUGCUGUAAUUUGAAGGGAUGGGCGGCUGUAAUUCAACAAAUCCCCGCGAUUUCAACUUUUUUUGGCUUUUUCUCAUUUUUCUUCGUUAAUGGCAUGAGGCCCAUUGCCCAAUUGUUGGGCGAUUCUGUUUUCCAUUUUCCUUCUUCCUUUUUUCUUUUUAGCCGCCAACCCCCUCGUUUGGUUUUAGGUAUCAAAACUCACUCCAAUGUCUGAACCAUAGAAAUAUGACUAUGAACGAGGGGUGCUCAUAGUUUGGUUUGAAUAGAUUUUCCCAAACCAAUUUU
rnacentral:lncRNA from 1 species